UGUUAUUAUAAGGGAAGGUAAAUGAUUAUCAAGACUCCAACAAACACUACUAAUCCAGGAGGUUACUAUGGAAGAGAUUGUUGAAGCUAUCAAGGAGAUGCCUAAGGACAAAGCACCUGGAGUGGAUGGAUUUCCGAUUGAAUUUUUAACCAAACACUGGGACAUAGUUAAGGAGGACAUCUUUGCUGUUGUGAAGGAAUUUUUCAAUACUUGCAGAUUACCUCAUAUGGUCAAUACUACUGCCUUAGCUCUAAUUCCCAAGGACAAAACACCAACAGCUGUGAAGGACUACAGACCUAUAGCCUGCUGUACUACACUGUACAAGAUCAUUUCCAAAAUCAUCACUAGUAGGAUGAAAGCUGUGAUAGGUGACUUGGUAGGGCAAGCCCAAUCUGCAUUCAUUGAGGGCAGAAGUAUACUGGGCAACAUCAUACUCAGUCAUGAAAUUUUCAAAGGCUAUUCUAGAAAAGAGGUAUCCCCUAGAUGUGUCUUGAAGGUGGAUUUGAGGAAAGCAUAUGACACAUUGGAUUGGAGGUAUCUUAAGCAAGUACUAGCUGACCUGGGCUUUCCUGCUAUCUUUGUGCAAUGGGUAAUGGAGUGUGUCACAACUGUCUCUUACUCACUCAUGCUUAAUGGUGGACUCACAAAGCCUUUCAAAGCUAAAAGGGGUAUUAGACAAGGUGGCCUUAUGUCACCCUACCUAUUUGUAUUGGCCAUGGAAUACCUCAACAGGAUUAUGGAGAAACUGCACAGAAAUGGUGACUUCAAUUUUCACCCAAAGUGCAGGAAGCUUAACUGUACACAUGUUUGCUUUGCUGAUGACCUACUGAUGUUUUGUAGAGCUGAUUUGGUGUCUGUCAAGAUCCUAAAGGAAGCCUUCCUCAAAUUACUGAUGACCUGCUAAUGUUUUGUAGAGCUGAUCUGGUAUCUGUCAAGAUCCUAAAGGAAGACUUUCUCAAGUUCUCUAAUGCCUCAGGAUUGCAAGCAAAUCUGCCAAAGAGUGCAUUGUAUAUAGCUGGAACUACACAGGCUGAUAAGGUUCAGAUUCUGGAAGCAUUGGGAUUCAUUGAAGGUAAAUUGCCUUUCAGAUACCUGGGAAUCCCCCUUGACUCAAAAAAACUAUCUGUUGGCCACUAUCUACCAAUUAUUGAGAAGAUCACAGCUAAAGUAACAUGCUGGUCUGCUAGGAUGCUUCCUAUGCUGGAAGAUGUCAGCUCAUCAAAUCAGCCAUAUUUGGCAUUCAAACUUAUUGGGCUCAAGUGUUUAUCCUUCCUAAGAAAGUGUUGAAAGC
rnacentral:lncRNA from 1 species